UUUCCGGUUGAUCCUGCCGCCGGCCACCGCUAUCAAGUUCCGACUAAGCCAUGCGAGUCAAGGUAUCGUAAGAUGCCGGCAAACUGCUCAGUAACACGUGGAUAAUCUAACCUUGAGUAAGGGAUAACCUCGGGAAACUGAGGAUAAUACCUUAUAAUUGCUUAAAACUGGAAUGUUUAAGCAAUAAAAGUUCCGACGCUCAAGGAUGAGUCUGCGACCUAUCAGGUAGUAGGUGGUGUAAUGGACCACCUAGCCUCAGACGGGUACGGGCCCUGGGAGGGGUAGCCCGGAGAUGGACUCUGAGACAUCAGUCCAGGCCCUACGGGGCGCAGCAGGCGCGAACACUGUGCAAUGCGCGAAAGCGCGACACGGGGAGCUUGAGUGUCUUGGCAUAGCCAAGACUUUUCUCAUUCCUAAAAAGCAUGAGGAAUAAGUGCUGGGUAAGACGGGUGCCAGCCGCCGCGGUAACACCCGCAGCACAAGUGGUGGUCACUUUUAUUGAGCCUAAAGCGUUCGUAGCCGGUUUUGUAAAUCUUUAGAUAAAGCCUGAAGCUUAACUCCAGAAAGUCUGAAGAGACUGCAAGACUUGAGAUCGGGUGAGGUUAAACGUACUUUCAGGGUAGGGGUAAAAUCCUGUAAUCCCGGAAGGACGACCAGUGGCGAAAGCGUUUAACUAGAACGAAUCUGACGGUAAGGAACGAAGGCUAGGGUAGCAAACCGGAUUAAAUACCCGGGUAGUCCUAGCUGUAAACACUGCCCACUUGGUGUUGCAUCUCCGGUAAGGGGGUGCAGUGCCGUAGCGAAGGUGUUAAGUGGGCCGCUUGGGGAGUAUGGUCGCAAGGCUGAAACUUAAAGGAAUUGGCGGGGGAGCACCGCAACGGGAGGAGCGUGCGGUUUAAUUGGAUUCAACGCCGGA
rnacentral:rRNA from 1 species